AGUGAACGCUGGCGGCGUGCCUAAUACAUGCAAGUCGAACGAAGUUGCGCCCGGGUGAGUAAUAUAUAGUUAAUCUGCCCUCCACAGAGGAACAACAGUUGGAAACGACUGCUAAUUCCUCAUAGUUUAGGAUGAGACUAUAUCGUAUCAGCUAGUUGGUAAGGUAAUGGCUUACAAAGGCUAUGACGCGUAACUGGUCUGAGAGGAUGAUCAGUCACACUUGAGCUGAGACACGGUCCAAACUCCUACGGGAGGCAGCAGUGAGGGAUAUUGCGCAACGGCGGAAGCCCUGACGCAGCAACGCUGCUAGGAGGAUGACACUUUUCGGAGAGUAAACUCCUGUUAUCAGUGAAGCGGUACCUGAUGAAUAAGCAACGGCUAACUCCGUGCCAGCAGCCGCGGUAAUAC
rnacentral:rRNA from 1 species